GAUGAACGCUGGCGGCGUGCCUAAUACAUGCAAGUCGAGCGAACGGACGAGAAGCUUGCUUCUCUGAUGUUAGCGGCGGACGGGUGAGUAACACGUGGAUAACCUACCUAUAAGACUGGGAUAACUUCGGGAAACCGGAGCUAAUACCGGAUAAUAUUUUGAACCGCAUGGUUCAAAAGUGAAAGACGGUCUUGCUGUCACUUAUAGAUGGAUCCGCGCUGCAUUAGCUAGUUGGUAAGGUAACGGCUUACCAAGGCAACGAUGCAUAGCCGACCUGAGAGGGUGAUCGGCCACACUGGAACUGAGACACGGUCCAGACUCCUACGGGAGGCAGCAGUAAGGAAUCUUCCGCAAUGGGCGAAAGCCUGACGGAGCAACGCCGCGUGAGUGAUGAAGGUCUUCGGAUCGUAAACCUCUGUUAUUAGGGAAGAACAUAUGUGUAAGUAACUGUGCACAUCUUGACGGUACCUAAUCAGAAAGCCACGGCUAACUACGUG
rnacentral:rRNA from 1 species